rnacentral:pre_miRNA from 1 species
AAAGUACUCCCUCCGUCCCAAAAUUCUUGUCUUAGAUUUUUCUAGAUACAAAUGUAUCAAGUCACAUUUUAGUAUUAGAUACAUCCGUAUCUAGACAAAUCUAAAACAAGAAAUUUGGGACAGAGGGAGUAGUUG